UCCAUAUAAUAUAACCCUUAUAAAAGCCAAAUUGGGUUGAGGAAGUUGGACGAUUUUGCCCCUGCCAUAAUAUUUUUCUGUUCUUGCUGAAUGCUUCCCUUCCGUUUUUGCCUCUUCAACUUGUUUUUGGUUUUAUCUUUUGUUUUGUCGUCUUUUCCAGCCUUUCUCAGCUUCACUGUAAUUUGCUCCUUUUUUUCAUCUCUCCUCAUCUCCUCUCAACCUCUCUCCUCAAUCUAUCAAGGUAAUCCUCUUCUCGAAUUCUAGGCCAGGGUUCUUCAUUUUGAACGCUAAUCCUAUCCCCAUAAUUCUUUGGUUGUUUAAUUUGGUGAGAUUGAUGGAUUUAGGGUUUAUUUCUUAGAAAGGAGAACCCAUCUUUCUCUCUCCUUUUUUAAAACCCACUAACUCCAUUUUCAUCCAACACUGAGUCGUGCACCGAUUCACCAAACCCAAUCAACAAAAGCCUAUGAUCGCCGGAAAAUGGCCACAGCAUCACCAACAUCUCCACCGUCUCAACAUCCACGAAUUUCAAGUAUAUCGCUUUGUUCGUCAAUCCCGAGGAACGCCUUCAUCUUGAGCAUGCCCAGAAACAUGCUCAUUGAUCUUCCUCCUUUUUCAGGAAACCCAGAUGUUCAAGAUUGAAUUAAAGAAGAUAUUCUUGAUUGAGUUGUCAGUGUUUGUGCCAAGGUGAUUGAUGAUCUAAAUCUUGCCAAUUUACUUGGUGUUUGAGCUCUCCAUUAAGUUCUACUUUGACUUGGGGUUGAGUUUUCCAUCAUGAAUCUCAUCUGGAUCCGAAGAAAAUAUAAGGGACCAUGCCUCACUAAUCACUAUCGACCUCACCCAAAUCGACUUGGACUCUGGCAAGCAAUAGUAAGGUGUUUAGAAGGGUGCUAUAAUGGAAUUUCAAGAAGGUUAUAGGUAUAACCCUUGAUUGGGAUGUUGUAGGUAAUUAUAACAGAAGCUUCAAAGGUUAUUCGAGAUGCUGGAAAGAAGAUGAACCUUAUGUCUUCUUUGAAUCAGAGAAUUGCUUCUUCAAGACCACCAUCCAAGAAGUGGAAGGUUGCUUUGGAUUUCUAACAUAGACGAAUUCUGGACAAAGGAGGAGGUGCUGGGCCUGCUUCUAAUGGCGUCAAUGCGGCUGUUAGACUUGUUUUCUUUACUGUUAUCUAUUCACUAAACUUGUUAUAUACAGGUAUUAACUAUAGUAAGCAGGCAAUGCUUUGCAAUGAGUUUCAUUUUCUAGCAUAAGUGAUAAGACAGUCGCAAUUAGUUUAGUUUUUAAAGUAUUAACAAUCGUUGCCAUUAGAUGCUUUAAAGUGUAAUCAACUUACAAUUUUGCAAAGUACAAGUGUAAUAAUUUUUUUUCCUAAGAAA